rnacentral:rRNA from 1 species
UACGGAGGGCGCAAGCGUUGUUCGGAAUUACUGGGCGUAAAGCGCGUGUAGGCGGUCUGGUAAGUCGGUUGUGAAAUCCCCGGGCUCAACCCGGGAACUGCAUCCGAAACUUCCAGGCUCGAGUUCCGGAGAGGAAGGCAGAAUUCCCAAUGUAGGGGUGAAAUCCGUAGAUAUUGGGAGGAAUACCAGUGGCGAAGGCGGCCUUCUGGACGGUGAUUGACGCUGAGACGCGAAAGCGUGGGGAGCAAACAGG